AGGAUUGCGCCGUGGGGGAAACCCUGUAGCACCGACGCAGCGCGAGCGAAGAAGGCCCUAGGGUCGUUAAGAUCUGUUAUAAGGGAGGAACAUUAUCUAGGUAGACAAUGGAGAUAACAGACGGUAGCGUAUGAGUAAGCCCCCGCGAACUAUGGGACAGAGACCGCGGUAAGACAUAGGGGGCUAGCGGUGUCCGGAAUUACUGGGCGUAAAGAGCACGUAGGCGGGGAUUUAAGUCAGGUGUGAAAGACCGCAGCUUAACUGCGGGGUUGCACUUGAAACUGAAUUUCUUGAGGGCAGGAGAGGAAAGCAGAAUUCCUGGCGUAGCGGUGAAAUGCGUAGAAAUCAGGAGGAAUCCCGGUGGCGAAGGCGGCUUUCUGGACUGACCCUGACGCUGAGGUGCGGAAGCGUGGGUAGCAAACA
rnacentral:rRNA from 1 species